rnacentral:SRP_RNA from 1 species
GCUGGGCAUUGUGGUGUGUGCCUGUAGUCCCAGCUACUCAGGAGGCUGAGGUGGGAGGAUCACUUGAGCCCAGGAGGUCAAGGCUGCAGUGAGCCGAGAUUGUGCCACUGCACUCCAGCCUGGGCAACAGAGUGAGGCCCUGUCUCAA